UGAGGAAUAUUGCGCAAUGGGGGAAACCCUGACGCAGCAACGCCGCGUGGGUGAAGAAGGCCUUCGGGUCGUAAAGCCCUUUCGGACGGGACGAACGGUCCGCGGUGACAACCCGCGGAUCCUGACGGUACCGUAAGAAGAAGCACCGGCUAACUCCGUGCCAGCAGCCGCGGUAAUACGGAGGGUGCAAGCGUUGUUCGGAAUUACUGGGCGUAAAGCGCGUGUAGGCGGCCUUGCAAGCCAGACGUGAAAGCCCUCGGCUUAACCGGGGAAGUGCGUCUGGAACUGCUCGGCUCGAGUACGGGAGAGGGAGGCGGAAUUCCCAGUGUAGAGGUGAAAUUCGUAGAUAUUGGGAGGAACACCGGUGGCGAAAGCGGCCUCCUGGACCGAUACUGAUGCUGAGACGCGAAAGCGUGGGGAGCAAACAGGAUUAGAUACCCUGGUAGUCCACGCGGUAAACGAUGGGCACUAGGUGUGGGGGGUAUCCACUCCUCCCGUGCCGCAGCUAACGCAUUAAGUGCCCCGCCUGGGGAGUACGGCCGCAAGGUUA
rnacentral:rRNA from 1 species